AUGAACGCUAGCGAUAGGCUUAACACAUGCAAGUCGAGGGGCAGCGAGGGUAGCAAUACCUGUCGGCGACCGGCGCACGGGUGAGUAACGCGUAUGUAACCUGCCCGCAACAGGGGGAUAACCCGGCGAAAGUCGGACUAAUACCGCAUAAAACAGGGGUCCCGCAUGGGAAUAUUUGUUAAAGAUUUAUCGGUUGCGGAUGGGCAUGCGUACCAUUAGGUAGUUGGUGAGGUAACGGCUCACCAAGCCUUCGAUGGUUAGGGGUUCUGAGAGGAAGGUCCACCACACUGGUACUGAGACACGGACCAGACUCCUACGGGAGGCAGCAGUGAGGAAUAUUGGUCAAUGGGCGAGAGCCUGAACCAGCCAAGUCGCGUGAAGGAUGACUGCCCUAUGGGUUGUAAACUUCUUUUACAAGGGAAUAAAAUGAGAUACGUGUAUUUUAUUGCAUGUACCUUGGGAAUAAGCAUCGGCUAACUCCGUG
rnacentral:rRNA from 1 species